rnacentral:tRNA from 1 species
CGGGCAGUAGCUCAGUGGUAGAGCUCUCGCUUCGUAUGCGGAAGUGGGUUCGAUCCCCGGCUGCUUAG